CUAUACCCAUACAAAGAAGAGUGAUCGCAACAAAUUUGUUGAUAAAUGAGCUGAAAUUGUUUAUGAAAAUUAUCUGAAGCUAAAAGAACAACAUUCAAGCCAGUAUGUGGGAUCAGAUCAUGUGGAAGGAGAUGGAGGAACUAUUAAUGAGGAUCAAUUGUUCAUUACUGCAGCAGGAGGAUGGCAAGGAAGUCGAGUUUAUGGUUUAGGUAGUGCUGCCUCUUCUGCCUUCUCUCAAACAGGAACUGGGGGAACAUCAACAAAUGUUCCAUCAUCCCAAUCACCAGAAUGGAAGAAGGAAAUUGAAGCAAAGUUUUAAGAGAAGUAUAAUAGUUUGCAUAAACUUGUAGAAGACCAAAAUCAGCUGAUAGCUCAAAUGCGUGAUGAACUACAGACAACGAAGAUGGGACAACAGUCUUCCUCAUUGAUGCCAUCAUCGUCUGAUAUUCCUCCAGCUCAUAGAUCCCUUGGUGAUUCACAUAUGGAUUAGCAUGAUGUCAUUUCUCACGUACUUAAAUAAUAUAUUUUAUGAUAUGAAUUUGAUACUAUUUGGAUCCAUUAUAUAUUUUGAGAUAUUUUAAGUUUCUUAGUGUUGAACUAUAGUAAUGUUUUGAACUUUUAGAUUGCAGAAUUAUGAAAUGAAGUUUAUGUGUA